AGGUCUGAGACAUCGAUGCCUCCAUUUCUCAUCUUCAGGGCAAAAUAUAAGUCUCUGGCCAUGAUCACUGGUGGUUGACCAGCUAAGAAAGGUUGCAUGUCCUCUAGCAUCUCAGCUCUUUCAUAAAGUUCAGGUCCAUGGCUUCGUCUCCUGCGAUCGUCCCCUUCACUCCUGCAUCAGUAGUAGGUUUCCAUGCCACCUUUGCAAAAGCAGAUUUUCCAGGAACACUCUUCACAGGAUCCACCAUUUUCUCUUUCAUCAGCAGUCUG